GGCAGCCAUGGGCUGAUAAGGGCAACAUGAGCAUGACACACUAGAACUGAAGGGGAAAUCCAAGGCUUCUUGUGACCCCUUCCCAAAGUGGGCUUCCAUGACUCCAUGGGUGAGGUGAGAAUUGCACAAGCUGCCCAGCCAUGGAGUUACUUUCAAACUUGACUCUGCUUGCUUCGACUCUUGGGAUUGGUUGCUGUGGCUGACGCAUCACCAUUUAUUGGUGCCAGCAAUGUGGUUCAACUUGGUAAGUAUGGUCGUGGGAUUUUAAUCCUCUUUUCUUGGUUUGCUGUUUGUUUUGAUGCUCUGAUUUUUGCUUUUUGAGACAGAGUCUUGCUGUGUAAUCCAGGCUGACCUCACAUUUGCAAUUCUCUUGUUUCUUCCUCCCAGGGGCUGAAAUGACAGAGCAAAGGGCAAAGCCCAAACCAUAGCCUGCCAGACUCAACAGUAUUUGUCCUUGUUUACCUCUCUUAGUCAUCUAAUCAUCUCAAACUGGCUUUUCUUGGCUGCCUAUGCUUUUCUUCAAAUGUACCAAAUACAUCCCCACUAAGGGCCUCUAACCUUGCUGUCUCCACUUUCCAGAACUGACUUCCUUGUCCCCAUGUUUUUUCCAAGUCUCUGCUUCAAAUGCUUAAAUGCUACUGCCUGGACCUCUGGCCCCUCUUCCUUCAAGCCUACCUUGUCUCUCUGACCCACUUUAGUUUUCCUCCUAGUAUUUUCCACUGAUAUAUUUCAUAUCUUCUAUUUUAUUUCCAAUGUGUUCUACCAAAAAGGUAAAGUUGGAAAUGCCAAAGCAUCGAUUUUGUUCACUACCUAAAACUUCAUCACACAGAAUAGGGCUAGACCCUCAGUGUAACUAUUUGUGGAGAGAACGGUGGCACAACACUGUGUCCACUAGAACCCUGGCAACAUUAUCUCUUUCCUGCCAGCACUGCCAGGACACCUAAACUUCAGGUCUUCCCUCAUGGCCCACAUGCCAUAUUGACAUUUUCCCAUUAGUCAUUAAGGUGCUGGCUCACUGGUGCCGUUGAGGACCCUCCCUGCCAUCUUUAGUCAAUAGCCAAACCUUUAUACGUAGCCAUCUUAUGAUCCCAAGAAAACCACCAUGGUUCCAGAGUUAAUUUAAAGUAAUAUAUUGCUUCACACACAGAGAGAUUCCUUACAUUAGUGUAUUUUUCUUUAACUGGGGAAGAAAACUCUUUCCUCUGGAAGGUUCUUGGCAAGUCUCCCUUCCCCACGACAAAGGCCAGUAUCUUAGAGCAAAGGAGGCUGGGAAAGCAAGGUGCUAGUGUCAGCUGCCUCCGUGACUGAGGCUGGGAAGUGUGGUGGAGAGUACGGACAGUUGCUGAAGAGGGAGCAAGAGCAGCUACAGAAGUGCAUGUACUUUUAACUGCAGAAACAAAUCCUUUUAUUUGUGUUCUCUUGCCAUCUUACAGACUUGAUUUUUGCUUAAUGGAUAUCAGUUACUUAUUCUGUAUCCAUGGGAAUAAUAUUUGGACAUUUUCUUCUGUUUCUAUUGUGCUCUACAAAUAUGAAUCCAUUAGUGUCUUCAGAAUGUUCUCAGGACUAAUGCGUUCAUACUUAUAAAACACUUGUGGCAAUACUUUGAUACAGUAGCCUAUGAAGCAAUAUGUAUUAUAAAUCGAGUUGAACUUUAAAUAAGCUCAAUCAGUGCUAUCAUACUAGAAAAUAUCUGUUAUCUGUAUAUCUACCAUCUAUCAUCACCUAUCCAUCCAUCCAUCCAUCCAUCCAUCCAUCCAUCCAUCCAUCCAUCUAUCAUAGUUCUAGAACUCAAACUCAGGGAAUUGUAUAUGCUCAGCAAGCUUUCUGUGAUUAACAUCCUAACCCUUGGUUUUACAAGUGGUGAUCUCAUUAUAUGGCCCAAGCUGGCUUGAACUUAACAAUUAUCCUGCCUCAGCCUCCUAAGUGUUGGGAUUAUAAGUAUCACAAUGUGUAGUGUAAAGAUGUCUUACUUUAAGAAGCACUAGACUGUCAAAGAAAAUCUCUAAUUUUUAGAAAGAUGUUAAUUCAUCUUUAAGUGAUUCUCCAGAACUGUGGCCAUAUUCAUGGGAUCACAAGAAGAUGGGCAAAAGUAAGGGAUUUCUCUACGUGAGCAUCCCUUUCUGAUUGUUGGUUUUGUUUUGUUUUGUCUGCCUUUUCAUAUUUUAACACGAGAUUCCAGCCUAGCCUGCUAGGAAAGGGUGUACAUCCUCUGGGGAGCAGAGAUUCCCAUGGGAGAGAUGUCUUUUUCAGCUGUGGAAUUCCAGUGUCGUGCAUAGAGGUCUUUUCUUCAGAUCCAUUCAGUUUCUGCUCAGAACACCCAGUGUCCAAUUCUGGUACUAGUGUGGGCAGAGAGUGGUAAUAUGUCUAGCUGAUUGGAUAGGGCACUGGCCAUCUUAGAACCUCAUGCAGAGAGUAUAACCAAAGCAGUUUUACUUAAUAGCCACCCUUUAGACAAUUUUCUUUUCCUUCCUUCCUUCCUCCCUCCCUCCCCCUCUCUCUUUCUCUCUCUCUUUCUUUCUUUCUUUCUUUCUUUCUUUCUUUCUUUCUUUCUUUCUUU
ensembl:lncRNA